GACGAACGCUGGCGGCGUGCCUAACACAUGCAAGUCGAACGAGAAUCUUUGAACAGAACUUUUCGGAGUGACGUUCAAAGAGGAAAGUGGCGGACGGGCGAGUAACGCGUGAGUAACCUGCCCAUAAGAGGGGGAUAAUCCAUGGAAACGUGGACUAAUACCGCAUAUUGUAGUUAAGUUGCAUGACUUGAUUAUGAAAGAUUUAUCGCUUAUGGAUGGACUCGCGUCAGAUUAGAUAGUUGGUGAGGUAACGGCUCACCAAGUCAACGAUCUGUAGCCGAACUGAGAGGUUGAUCGGCCGCAUUGGGACUGAGACACGGCCCAGACUCCUACGGGAGGCAGCAGUGGGGAAUAUUGCGCAAUGGGGGCAACCCUGACGCAGCAACGCCGCGUGCAGGAAGAAGGUCUUCGGAUUGUAAACUGUUGUCGCAAGGGAAGAAGACAGUGACGGUACCUUGUGAGAAAGUCACGGCUAACUACGUGCCAGCAGCCGCGGUAAUACGUAGGUGACAAGCGUUGUCCGGAUUUACUGGGUGUAAAGGGCGCGUAAGCGGACUGUCAAGUCAGUCGUGAAAUACCGGGGCUUAACCCUGGGGCUGCGAUUGAAACUGACAGCCUUGAGUAUCGGAGAGGAAAGCGGAAUUCCUAGUGUAGCGGUGAAAUGCGUAGAUAUUAGGAGGAACACCAGUGGCGAAGGCGGCUUUCUGGACGACAACUGACGCUGAGGCGCGAAAGUGUGGGGAGCAAACAGGAUUAGAUACCCUGGUAGUCCACACCGUAAACGA
rnacentral:rRNA from 1 species